rnacentral:tRNA from 1 species
GCGGGGGUUGCCAAGCCAGGUCAAAGGCGCAGGGCUUAGGACCCUGUCCCGUAGGGGUUCGUGGGUUCAAAUCCCACCCCCCGCA